CUGGGAUGCCUCUCUGCCUCCUAAGGUAAGCGAUUCCUAACUCGUUAGCCGGGGAGAAAUUCUAAUUAUUCAUUAUCUUUCGCGGUACAUGCUGCUCUUGGAUGCUUGAUUGAUAUCAUAUGCGACUCAUCAUUGUGGCUGUUUUUCCAGGGCUACCCCAGGCCAGGCCAAAGGCAUCUUUCGUCCUCACUGCAACCCUAUGAGGUAGAAACUGUGAUCCCAUCUUACAGAUGGGAAAAACUGAGGCUAACAUGUACUUACUGCCUCCGCUGAAGCCACAAGGCUCAACAACGAUGGAUCAGGGUCCCGAGCUCGCCCCCUUCGCCAUCCCCCCCACAGGCCUGUUCUUCAGCCCUGUCUCUGCUCCUCACAGGUGGCCGGGAGGCUAAGCGGGAUGUCUGGCUUUCCAAACCCUCAGCAUCGCUCAUCGUCAGCAUGUGAUUCCUUAUCCGCUUCGCUCCCCUAACCGCUCACGGUUGGUGGACCGGUGCAACAAACAACAUACCGCUUCUGAGAGCGGGUCUCAAUAGACGUGGAAUCCUUUCGAAUCCCGCCGCCACCAUCUAAACGGCUAGCCUGCUGGACAAUGAGAGCUAAGUGGCCCAGUUG
rnacentral:lncRNA from 1 species